UACGGGGGGGGGCGAGCGUUAUUCGUCGUUAUUGGGCGUAAAGGGUAUGUAGGUGGGUUUUAGCAUUUAUUUGGCCAAAUGACAGGGCAUAUUCUCUGGCAGUGCUAUUUAAAGAAAAGACCUCGAGAUAGUGGCAGGUUAGAAGAAUUACUAAAGUAGGGGUAAAAUGUGCUGAUCUUAGUACGAAUACCGCACGCGCAGGCAUCUUUUCUCCACUAUCUGACACUGAGAUACGAAAGCAUGGGGAUCAAACAGG
rnacentral:rRNA from 1 species